UUCGAACUGUCAAAAAUUGUGUAGCUACAAAAAUAUUUACAUGUAAGCAAUGCCUCGCAGAAGUGGAAAAGAAAAAUUACUAAACGGACUGUGCUUAAAAAACAUGUUGGUAUUGCUGCUCCAAGAUUCAAUGAAGAUGAGGACUGCGAUAUUCUAACGGACUUUAAUGUUAGUGCAGCAAAAAUUUAUGUCCUCAAGAAGAUACAGCCACGUAAAUGUGCCAAAAUCUAAAAAUUGGAUUGACACAAUCCUUCCCAACUUCGAUAACAAUCGUAUGCGGCAAAUGUUACGACUGGAAUCUCCGGAAUUUCAACAUAUUUUAAGCUUAAUCAAAGAAGAUACUGCUUUUAAAAAUAAAAAUUCGGUUCCUCAAAUGCCAGUGGAAUUGCAAUUAAA